rnacentral:rRNA from 1 species
AGAGUUUGAUUAUGGCUCAGGAUGAACGCUAGCGACAGGCUUAACACAUGCAAGUCGAGGGGCAUCACGGGAGUAGCAAUACAACUGGUGGCGACCGGCGCACGGGUGAGUAACGCGUAUGCAACCUACCUAUCAGAGGGGAAUAACCCGGCGAAAGUCGGACUAAUACCGCAUAAAACGGGGGCACCGCAUGGUGAUAUUUGUUAAAGAAAUUCGCUGAUAGAUGGGCAUGCGUUCCAUUAGGUAGUUGGUGAGGUAACGGCUCACCAAGCCGACGAUGGAUAGGGGAACUGAGAGGUUGGUCCCCCACACUGGUACUGAGACACGGACCAGACUCCUACGGGAGGCAGCAGUGAGGAAUAUUGGUCAAUGGGCGGGAGCCUGAACCAGCCAAGUCCGCGUGAAGGAAGAAGGAUCUAUGGUUCGUAAACUUCUUUUGCAGGGGAAUAAAGUGCAGGACGUGUCCUGUUUUGUAUGUACCCUGAGAAUAAGGAUCGGCUAACUCCGUGCCAGCCGCCGC